UCGAGGGAGCAAUCUACAACACUAAACAUGGAUAUUAAUAUAACUGCAAGCAUGUUCUCAUCAACACCUUUGCAUACAUUUCAAGCAAUCACAAAUAUUUGUGUUCCAGUUUUUGGACGAAAUUUUCUUGAGUUUUGAAACAUAAUGUUUCUUUCAUUUCAAACUAUCAAGAAAAUGCAGGCUGAAAUUGUAUCUCAUACAUCUCUAAGGUGUUCUAUACUUUCUCGUUCAUUCAGUUUAUGAUAAAUUUCUGUAAGACUUUUAAGCAUCGCCCAUUCGAAUCUAAAUAAUGUUGGUACAUGCAGUCGCUAUAGUUGACACAUAUUCAGUCCCUUCACCAAGUGAUGACUUCAGCUUCCUUUUAAGGCACAUGUAGCAUCUUACGUAGCAAUUUUCAUCACCAUAUUUUUGCUCGAGUUAGUAACUACAAUCUACUAUACAUGUUCUUGCUAGAGUUAGUAACUGCACUCUACUCCAAUAAUUUAAUGUUGAAGAUGUUCUGCUCUUUCAAAUCUGCCUCCAACUUUAAGUUCCAGAUGUGCUAAUACUUUCUGAUAAGAAAAGAAACCAUUACCAUUUUUAAAAACCAAAUAGCUGGAGAUAUAGCUUAAUUACUCUCUUGUUUAGUAUCCACAUUUACUCUUUAAAAUAAUAUUAAUAAGACGGAGAGAAAAUCUGAUAAGCUCCAUUAAACAAAAAAUGUACUCUACAAUAAGAACACAAAAUUAAGAUGAAUUAACGUGAAGACAAUUAAGUGUGGACUUUAAACUGGUUGUCCAUCUUUCCUUUCUAAGGCCCUUCUCAUCAUACUUGAAUACUUUGCUGAAGAAGACUGUAAAAGAAGGAAUCUAUGGCUACUAUAGAGUAAGUUAAUAACUAUUCUUUGAUCAGACUAACCUAAAGCACUUAGUAGCUCAUUUCUAAGAUAAAGGACCAUGAGAUCAACAUAAAGAGUUUCCUACUGAAAACGCAACAAAUCAAGAAAAGAGGAAGGGUAAAUAAACACUUUGUGCUUCCUCAAAAUUGUCACGUAUACUCUCUAAUAAGAUAGAUCAAUAGUAGAAAAGAUGAAUAAUCUCAACAAUUUCUAUUGAAGUUACUAACGUUUCAAAUCUCAUUAAGUUUCUGAGUAAUCCAUAUGCUUUCAAGGCUUAAAUACAUAUUGAGAUGACGAUAAAUAUGAGGAAAAUAACUUUUAUAUGAAUUAUGUUUGUGUAGAAAUCAAUAUGAAUGUGGAAAAGAGUUUAGAACUAAUUGAAUGAUUUUGAUGGCCUGAUGAGUGAAUUGAGAAGAACUAAAACAUGAUAUCUUUCUCAAACCUCCCUCACAAUGUGAGCUCAUAUCGUGAGAGAUAUUGGUUGAUUGGCCAGGACGUGGGCCUUGUCACAGGGCAACACAAGACACUUCAUUUGAACAUGAAUAUGUUAACACUUUAAGAGUGAAUCUAUUUUCAAGCUCAAUUACUAUCCUUCAUGUCCUGAUAUUCAAGAAUUCAAUGCCAAAAAAUUGAUUGGAUUUGGAGAAAAUACUGAUCCACAAAUCAGAUCGAUAUUAAGAUCCAACAACACAUCCGACCUUCAAAUUUUACUCAAAAAUGACCACGGAAUUUCUGUACCACCUGAUCAUUUUGAUUGUAGUUAAACUCAAUAAUUAAUGUGAUGAAAUAUCCCCUAUCUUUUAUGGAUAAUAUAUUGAUCUUAUCUUAGCAUGCUAGCCGCUACUUCAUUUCGUUUUUAAUAUGCCUUACUUAAAAUGUUGCAAAAGUAUUAAGUUACUAUGUUUAUUUUGCACACAUUUAUUAAUUCAUUGAUGCUUAUUAUUGUAUCAAAGCUGGUGCAACUGUGCAGGCAUGAGGAAAAUGCAUUAAAAUGAAUGUAUUCCAGGGAAAGUAAGCGAAAUUUGCAGUACUAUUAUUACCUGUCCUUUGUCGUUCUCGUCCUCGUCAUCAUUAUAAUCAUGACCUCAAGAAUGCCUCUCAGAAUCUUUGUCUACAUAAUCGACUUUCCUGCCAGUUUAAUGGAUGAGGAGAGGAAAAUGAAUGGUCCUUUUAUAACUUAGUAUAGACCUCGACUUAAUGACUAUAGCAGUGCUAUAAUGUCAUACGAAACUUAGAAUGUACAUUUUGUAAAGAAGGCACUUUUAUGAACUCAUGGAAGAAUAUAUUUUAAUAAACUCAAGGAAGGUUCAGCUUCUUUGCUAGAAUACAAAAAUAAUACAAAAUUCUGUCGUAGUCAGAUACUACAAGACAUUUAUAAAGUACUUGUUACUAUUAGGCAUUUGAUUCGAAAAUAAGAUUAAAUUAUUUCUAGAAAGCUCCAUUACCUGCAAGUCAUCAAGACUCUCACCAUAUUUUGGAUUCAAAUAAGUAAAUUACUGAAUAAUAGACUAUUUGCCAUAACUUCAAGAACUUCCUGCCAACGUAGCUAUAGAAUUAAUUUAAAAGAAAACUGUAAGUCUGUAACUUUGACUUUUUCAAACGUACUUCUGAAGCUAUUAUAUCAUCAUAAAUCAUUUAUAUACCACAAUAAUUGCACAAGUGCUUAACUAUUUUACUGUUCUUUUUCGUCGGUGAGAACCGUAAAACUUUAGAAAUGCAUAUUGAGUUGCGAUUGUCAUGCCAGAACACUUAUUAUAUGGACAUACUGAGUUGCCAAUUUUGAACAUGCUCUUUUGCUAAUCAUCUACUUUCAAGUUGUCCCUUACUUUGCUACAUAUUGAAUAGGUUUGCUGAAGCCAACUCAUUAAAAGUGAAAGGUACAUGUGUCCCUACACUUGCAGGAUUAUGUCCUCGGAACACAAAACUCUAAUGUAGUUGUUAUGUUCUUGAUCUUUUUAAAAUUCAGAAAUUGGGUAAAGUAUCAUCUUUAGUGUGGUUUCUAAAUCUGUAAUGUUUAAUUUCAAGAAAUAAAUAAACCAAAAUCGUAUGCUAGAUGAUCAUCUAGUGAAUCCUCCUAAAGCACAGUUGGGUGAUACAAUUUCGAAGGAGAUAGUACAUUAGUUAAUUGCCUUAUUCUCGCUCCCAGUCAAGAUUACUAUUACCUAUGAAAUUGGAAAGCCAUAGGUGAAGAAAUUAAAUGCUAUUCUUAGCUCAUUUUCUGAGAUACAAACACUUUGAACUGAAAACUCUGAUUGAUAUCAUGCUACUAAAAUAGAUUAUACAAACAUUUACACUGGUUAUCUGGAGUAUAUUAAUGCAUAAAAAUAACACUUCAAGCAUACCUCGCCCCAAGUAUUUCUGAAUAAAUUAUGAGCCAAUAAACAUUAUGAAGGUCAUGGUGGUAUGAUGUACUACGGCCUUUGCAAGAACAGUUUUUGCUCUAGUACCUUUAGGCUUUAACCAAACCGAUAAACAGAAAAGUCAAAGUUCGAAGGAAAAAUUAGUGGUCGCUAAGGCUUACGAUCUCUAGGGAUUGAAAACAAUGCUUAGCCAACAGAAGUUUCUUUUGUCUACAUCCACUUCAAGGAACUGACAAAACUCAAGUAGUGACGCAAGGCCAUUGACUCUUAAGUUUCAUAUGUUAUCUCCCUUCUUUUCUUUCUCUUUAGUACUUGUCUUAUGCCUCUAGUAUCAAAAGCUUUGUUACAACAACAAUAGUUAGUAUCUUAUUUUCCCCAGACACACUAACAAAAAAGAAUCAUAGAAUCCAUGGAUGAAGAAGUAAACCAUUGAAAAAAUAUUGAAAUAAAGCCAAUAAUCUAGUUUAAUAGAAAGCACCAAUAGAUAAGAAAUUAGAGGGAUGAAAUCAAAUCAUUAACCUUACCAUCGAAUAGCCAAAAGCUAUUGAAGGGUAAUAAUGAGAUCUUUUUGAAGCUUCAAAAGGAUUGCCUAGACCCCCUCUAGAAAGUAAAACCAGAACUAUAGAGUAAACUAAAGUGAAUUUCAGUUAUUUUCAUACAGACAGAGUAAUACGACAUAGUACAUACAUUCUAGAAAAGUAACAAUUUUUUGUUCACCAAUUCAAAGUUCAAAGGAAAAAAGCAUAAAAUGUUACCUCAAAGUAAAAUUUGUGAUCUUAACAUCCCUUAUAUCUGGUAGCUGAAUAAACCUAUAUUAGCAAAAUGGUUGUUCAGUUCAACAACUUAUACUACUUGAUUUAUGAGUGAAAGGUAGAACUGUAAAUGUUAAUUGGUUGUUCAAUAUUGAAACAACACCUUCACAUGUACAUUUUUUGACACACAGUUCGGUAGCAACCAGCUAUAUCUGAAAUCAAUCUAAUUACAAAUUAAAACAUAACUGCAGCUUCAACAAUAACAGUCUAAUCUAGCCUCUGUUUAAAAUAUUGAUAUUAAACAUGCAUGCAUCAAUGUGGUAUUCCAACAACAGUAACCACAAGCAACAAGCAUCUGAUGACCUUAUAAAGAAGUCAGAACAUUACAUUUUCAAUUGAUACUUCCUCUAAUCAAAACUUAAAAUGGACACCAAACCUUAAGCGAUAUUUGUAGAAGCCGUUAAAUUGGUUGAGCAAACAGUAAAUGCGCACAAAUAUAUUAAUUGAAAUAAGUAAUAUGAGGGUGUUUUUUCAUGAAUAUAAUUAAGUGCAACAUUCUUAUAUUGCAGGAGACACUCCAAAAUUAGUUUUAAAGCUUAUGGGGAUGAAGGAGUAACCUUGUAGCACUUAAAGUGUGUAAUGUUCUAGCAAAGAGAGUUCGGGCUAGAGCGUACGCAGACAUUACCCCUACCUCAGGGAGGUAGAGAGGUUGUUUCCAAAUGACCCCACGACUCAAGUGCUAAAAAAUACAAUUGAAUGAAAAAUUUCAAACUUAUACUGUUGUUAUAUAUAAAAUAUUUCUUUUCAAGAACAGAUUGAAAGCGAAAAAGUAUCAAAUAAUAUGAAUGGGUCGAUGAACAUAUUGUAAUUCCAUGGUAAAUGUGUUUAACCUUGUAGAGUUGAAAAGACGAAGUCGGUGACAAACUCUAUUGGUAGUUUCCAUUAACCUUUGGUAACUUGGAUGAAACAACAAUAUCUCUUCCGAUACCGAAUAGCUAGUGCACAAAUUUAACGUACGAAUUAUGAGCUCGGCAACUCCUUCCCCCCUCAACAACUUCAUCACAUCUUUCUCCAAAUGUUUUUUUUGAGAAGGUAACAGUCUACAUCUUUCUCCUAAUGUCAGCAACCAUUUUCCCCACUAGACAUAUCGAAUAUAAAUGCGGUUGAUCAAUUGGAGCAGUUCAACCUGAAAAUUCUCAAACUUUAUUUCCUAGAUUUUAGAAGGAAAGUUAUUGUUUAUCAAAGUAUAUAAAUGGGAUUUCUAUUCAACUAUUUUAGCAUAAAACUGGUCAACUUCAAGGUUUAAUAAUGCCCCUCCUAUAUAUCCAGUUGCUAGACACCUAAUUGGUAUGAUCAUCCUCUCAUUCUUCAAUAGGCAGGGUCGCAGGGAUAACACUAUAGCUCAGAACAGAAGAAAUAACUCAUAUAAUAGUAUUCUUAGGAGAAAUCUGAAUGCCUGGGGAGUUAGAAGGUAUGACAGAAUAUCUCAGAGUGCUAUCCAAUCACCAGUGUCCAAGCCACCCUACACUAACGUCGAAAAUGCACCAGCACAAGUAUCUCGUAACUCUACGCCACCUUACCAAGCUCGACAAUGCACCAACACAAGUAUUUGGUUACUCUACCCACUAACCUUUAAGCAAAUAGAAGAAGAAAUACCUAUAGUGUUUUCAACUUGAAUUUGACAUUCCAAAAGCACUAUGUUAUUCGAUUUUUUGGGAUAAAUGAAAAUAGCUUCUUGUGAUUUUGAAAAAGAACAAUCGAAAGGAAAUACUAACUUUUUAUUAAUGAACACAUACAUAUACCCAAACGGAAAACAACAACGAAAACACAGUAUUGAAACAAAAGAAGAUGGAUAUACUUAUUUGAGAGACCAAAGUUCAAUGCAUACCACAAUGAAAGAUAGAUACACUUAUUUCAUAGACUAAAGUUCAGUUCAUACCACAAUGAACUAUAUUCACAUGACCUACAAAGGAUGAGAGCAAGAAAUAGAGAGAAAUAACUCAACGUGUGCAAUAUUACUCAAUUUAACAGAAACACAAAAGAUGGAAAAAAUCAAAAAGAAACUCAACAGAAAUAAUAGAACAGUCUGAUGCGAAGACGGAGGAAAAUUGAGGUAAAAUCCGAGGUGAGGUACAAAUGAUUGCAGAAGAACUCUAAAUAGCAAAGAGCAAAUAUGUAACUGAAUUUGAUCAUUCAUCAAAUAACACAAAAUUCAAAAUCUGAUGCUUUUGAAUCUGAAGACAUUAUAC
rnacentral:lncRNA from 1 species